UGCUUAUUGUUGUUGAAGUUCUUGUUUCAACAACCUGUGGAUUAAAUUACCUUCCUAUUAAAGAAAAAUUGCAAUAAUGGUACUAUAAAUGGUUGAUAAGAUUUUAUUUUGUGAUUUGUUACAAUAGUUUUAUAAUGCAAGUAUUGAAAUAUUGAUAAAAACAGCGAUUUGGAGGGAAAAUCGUUUUCUGGUGGUGUGGCAUCAGAUCAUGUUGUGAUGCCGGGACGGCUACCGCUAGCUCAUGCAUUAUUUCUUCCAACACAUAAUCGUGUCUUUAACUAUUAUCAUCAAGAAAUAAUCAAACUUUACUUCAGAUUAAAUGAAAUUGACAUCAAAUGUGACAGCAAUGACAGCUGUGUCAUUCUUAGUCGACAGUUUCCAAAGUAAUGGUACGCUCAAAAUUUAUACUUUUUUAUUCUGCACUGCGGUGUAGAGUUUAGUUUAAUCCCAAAUAACUCGAGAACGGUACAUUUUGGCGAUAUGAA